rnacentral:rRNA from 1 species
AUUGAACGCUGGCGGCAGGCCUAACACAUGCAAGUCGAGCGGAUGAAGGGAGCUUGCUCCUGGAUUCAGCGGCAGACGGGUGAGUAAUGCCUAGGAAUCUGCCUGGUAGUGGGGGAUAACGUCCGGAAACGGGCGCUAAUACCGCAUACGUCCUGAGGGAGAAAGUGGGGGAUCUUCGGACCUCACGCUAUCAGAUGAGCCUAGGUCGGAUUAGCUAGUUGGUGGGGUAAAGGCCUACCAAGGCGACGAUCCGUAACUGGUCUGAGAGGAUGUUCAGUCACACUGGAACUGAGACACGGUCCAGACUCCUACGGGAGGCAGCAGUGGGGAAUAUUGGACAAUGGGCGAAAGCCUGAUCCAGCCAUGCCGCGUGUGUGAAGAAGGUCUUCGGAUUGUAAAGCACUUUAAGUUGGGAGGAAGGGCAGUAAGUUAAUACCUUGCUGUUUUGACGUUACCAACAGAAUAAGCACCGGCUAACUUCGUG